CCUACGGGGGGCAGCAGUGGGGAAUAUUGGACAAUGGGGGGAACCCUGAUCCAGCCAUGCCGCGUGUGUGAAGAAGGCCCUCGGGUUGUAAAGCACUUUCAGUGAGGAAGAACGCCUGGUGGUUAAUACCCAUCAGGAAAGACAUCACUCACAGAAGAAGCACCGGCUAACUCCGUGCCAGCAGCCGCGGUAAUACGGAGGGUGCGAGCGUUAAUCGGAAUUACUGGGCGUAAAGCGCGCGUAGGUGGCUUGAUAAGCCGGUUGUGAAAGCCCCGGGCUCAACCUGGGAACGGCAUCCGGAACUGUCAAGCUAGAGUGCAGGAGAGGAAGGUAGAAUUCCCGGUGUAGCGGUGAAAUGCGUAGAGAUCGGGAGGAAUACCAGUGGCGAAGGCGGCUUUCUGGACUGAAACUGACACUGAGGUGCGAAAGCGUGGGUAGCAAACAGGAUUAGAUACCCCAGUAGUC
rnacentral:rRNA from 1 species